rnacentral:rRNA from 1 species
GAUGAACGCUGGCGGCGUGCCUAAUACAUGCAAGUCGAGCGAACAGACGAGGAGCUUGCUCCUCUGACGUUAGCGGCGGACGGGUGAGUAACACGUGGAUAACCUACCUAUAAGACGGGGAUAACUUCGGGAAACCGGAGCUAAUACCGGAUAAUAUAUUGAACCGCAGGGUUCAAUAGUGAAAGACGGUUUUGCUGUCACUUAUAGAUGGAUCCGCGCCGCAUUAGCUAGUUGGUAAGGUAACGGCUUACCAAGGCAACGAUGCGUAGCCGACCUGAGAGGGUGAUCGGCCACACUGGAACUGAGACACGGUCCAGACUCCUACGGGAGGCAGCAGUAGGGAAUCUUCCGCAAUGGGCGAAAGCCUGACGGAGCCACGCCGCGUGAGUGAUGAAGGUCUUCGGAUCGUAAAACUCUGUUAUUAGGGAAGAACAAAUGUGUAAGUAACUAUGCACGUCUUGACGGUACCUAAUCAGAAAGCCACGGCUAACUACGUG